GGGUUGUGAGGUUAAGCGACUAAGCGUACACGGUGGAUGCCCUGGCAGUCAGAGGCGAUGAAGGACGUGCUAAUCUGCGAUAAGCGUCGGUAAGGUGAUAUGAACCGUUAUAACCGGCGAUUUCCGAAUGGGGAAACCCAGUGUGAUUCGUCACACUAUCAUUAACUGAAUCCAUAGGUUAAUGAGGCGAACCGGGGGAACUGAAACAUCUAAGUACCCCGAGGAAAAGAAAUCAACCGAGAUUCCCCCAGUAGCGGCGAGCGAACGGGGAGCAGCCCAGAGCCUGAAUCAGUGUGUGUGUUAGUGGAAGCGUCUGGAAAGGCGCGCGAUACAGGGUGACAGCCCCGUACACAAAAAUACACAUACUGUGAGCUCGAUGAGUAGGGCGGGACACGUGGUAUCCUGUCUGAAUAUGGGGGGACCAUCCUCCAAGGCUAAAUACUCCUGACUGACCGAUAGUGAACCAGUACCGUGAGGGAAAGGCGAAAAGAACCCCGGCGAGGGGAGUGAAAAAGAACCUGAAACCGUGUACGUACAAGCAGUGGGAGCACGCUUAGGCGUGUGACUGCGUACCUUUUGUAUAAUGGGUCAGCGACUUAUAUUCUGUAGCAAGGUUAACCGAAUAGGGGAGCCGAAGGGAAACCGAGUCUUAACUGGGCGUUAAGUUGCAGGGUAUAGACCCGAAACCCGGUGAUCUAGCCAUGGGCAGGUUGAAGGUUGGGUAACACUAACUGGAGGACCGAACCGACUAAUGUUGAAAAAUUAGCGGAUGACUUGUGGCUGGGGGUGAAAGGCCAAUCAAACCGGGAGAUAGCUGGUUCUCCCCGAAAGCUAUUUAGGUAGCGCCUCGUGAAUUCAUCUCCGGGGGUAGAGCACUGUUUCGGCAAGGGGGUCAUCCCGACUUACCAACCCGAUGCAAACUGCGAAUACCGGAGAAUGUUAUCACGGGAGACACACGGCGGGUGCUAACGUCCGUCGUGAAGAGGGAAACAACCCAGACCGCCAGCUAAGGUCCCAAAGUCAUGGUUAAGUGGGAAACGAUGUGGGAAGGCCCAGACAGCCAGGAUGUUGGCUUAGAAGCAGCCAUCAUUUAAAGAAAGCGUAAUAGCUCACUGGUCGAGUCGGCCUGCGCGGAAGAUGUAACGGGGCUAAACCAUGCACCGAAGCUGCGGCAGCGACGCUUAUGCGUUGUUGGGUAGGGGAGCGUUCUGUAAGCCUGCGAAGGUGUGCUGUGAGGCAUGCUGGAGGUAUCAGAAGUGCGAAUGCUGACAUAAGUAACGAUAAAGCGGGUGAAAAGCCCGCUCGCCGGAAGACCAAGGGUUCCUGUCCAACGUUAAUCGGGGCAGGGUGAGUCGACCCCUAAGGCGAGGCCGAAAGGCGUAGUCGAUGGGAAACAGGUUAAUAUUCCUGUACUUGGUGUUACUGCGAAGGGGGGACGGAGAAGGCUAUGUUGGCCGGGCGACGGUUGUCCCGGUUUAAGCGUGUAGGCUGGUUUUCCAGGCAAAUCCGGAAAAUCAAGGCUGAGGCGUGAUGACGAGGCACUACGGUGCUGAAGCAACAAAUGCCAUGCUUCCAGGAAAAGCCUCUAAGCAUCAGGUAACAUCAAAUCGUACCCCAAACCGACACAGGUGGUCAGGUAGAGAAUACCAAGGCGCUUGAGAGAACUCGGGUGAAGGAACUAGGCAAAAUGGUGCCGUAACUUCGGGAGAAGGCACGCUGAUAUGUAGGUGAAGCGACUUGCUCGUGGAGCUGAAAUCAGUCGAAGAUACCAGCUGGCUGCAACUGUUUAUUAAAAACACAGCACUGUGCAAACACGAAAGUGGACGUAUACGGUGUGACGCCUGCCCGGUGCCGGAAGGUUAAUUGAUGGGGUCAGCGCAAGCGAAGCUCUUGAUCGAAGCCCCGGUAAACGGCGGCCGUAACUAUAACGGUCCUAAGGUAGCGAAAUUCCUUGUCGGGUAAGUUCCGACCUGCACGAAUGGCGUAAUGAUGGCCAGGCUGUCUCCACCCGAGACUCAGUGAAAUUGAACUCGCUGUGAAGAUGCAGUGUACCCGCGGCAAGACGGAAAGACCCCGUGAACCUUUACUAUAGCUUGACACUGAACAUUGAGCCUUGAUGUGUAGGAUAGGUGGGAGGCUUUGAAGUGUGGACGCCAGUCUGCAUGGAGCCGACCUUGAAAUACCACCCUUUAAUGUUUGAUGUUCUAACGUUGACCCGUAAUCCGGGUUGCGGACAGUGUCUGGUGGGUAGUUUGACUGGGGCGGUCUCCUCCUAAAGAGUAACGGAGGAGCACGAAGGUUGGCUAAUCCUGGUCGGACAUCAGGAGGUUAGUGCAAUGGCAUAAGCCAGCUUGACUGCGAGCGUGACGGCGCGAGCAGGUGCGAAAGCAGGUCAUAGUGAUCCGGUGGUUCUGAAUGGAAGGGCCAUCGCUCAACGGAUAAAAGGUACUCCGGGGAUAACAGGCUGAUACCGCCCAAGAGUUCAUAUCGACGGCGGUGUUUGGCACCUCGAUGUCGGCUCAUCACAUCCUGGGGCUGAAGUAGGUCCCAAGGGUAUGGCUGUUCGCCAUUUAAAGUGGUACGCGAGCUGGGUUUAGAACGUCGUGAGACAGUUCGGUCCCUAUCUGCCGUGGGCGCUGGAGAACUGAGGGGGGCUGCUCCUAGUACGAGAGGACCGGAGUGGACGCAUCACUGGUGUUCGGGUUGUCAUGCCAAUGGCACUGCCCGGUAGCUAAAUGCGGAAGAGAUAAGUGCUGAAAGCAUCUAAGCACGAAACUUGCCCCGAGAUGAGUUCUCCCUGACUCCUUGAGAGUCCUGAAGGAACGUUGAAGACGACGACGUUGAUAGGCCGGGUGUGUAAGCGCAG
rnacentral:rRNA from 1 species